rnacentral:misc_RNA from 1 species
AAAAAAAAAAAAAGGAAAAAAAAUCUGGACAGAGAAAAAACUUCAAUUCCAUCAGCCACGCAUUUAUAAGCUUGCAAAAUAACUUUGAUUAUGUCAAGAGUCAGCAGAAAUCUGGCCUAGGCUUCUUGCGGACAGAUAUGCAGCCUCUUUGAUGAUCCCUGAAAAUUCUGAUCUCAGAACAAUCCCUCAGGUCUUCAAGACUAAUGUACUGUUGCUUGACCAUCCUGGAGAAAUCACCUCCAGUGUCAUGCACCCAAAUAUAAGGUUGGCAUGUCUCAUCAUAGUAAUAAAGCAGGCUCUUCAUGCCUCCAGCACUAGCACUUCCACUCCUUCCAGGCAUGUAGGCCUUGUAUAUGCUCUUGCAUUUUAGUCUCUUUGAAGAGCCUGGCUUCAAUGUGUGAACCUUUUUCAGUAUUGAUCCCACCCUUACUUGCAGCUCAACUGACCUGUCACUCAGGUUCCAGAUCCUGGAGCCGAAUCCUGAAGUUUGUGUAUGAUCUCGACAGCCAUCAAAACAACCCCCAAGAGGGAAAAUGCUGAACCCUGUCAUUGGACUCAGAAACCUUAAAUUUUGUAUCAACCUUAUUGCUUUCUGUUAUAGAAGUCGAAUGUGUCCCUUAUAAAUAAGGCACACAACAACCUGUAUCUUUUUGGAUGGCUGUGAUUAUUAGGUUGUGGAUCCACCAAAAGGCAGAUCACAAUUUGGAUGGUCCUGAUUUGUAUAAGAACCAGAUUGCGGAUAAAUGGAAUUG